rnacentral:lncRNA from 13 species
AUUCUUCUAGGUCUAAUAAGAAAAGGAAGAUAUAUAUGUGAAUCAUACUUCUAUUACUUCAUUUAUCCAACGGAGUCGAAAUUAGCGAACUCGAUGGCCGUCAUUCCUGUCGAAUCACUGAAGCCAACGGAAGCGAAUUCUCCGGUGGCUGAUGUAACAUCGUGGAGACCCACUGACACGCAUCAAACGAUAAUGCUUAUCCUGAGACAGAUUAUGCGGAGAAAUGUUUUUUCAAUUUAAAUUCCUGCUUUGCGACACAGGAAGUUGCAAUCUUCUAAAUUCGUAAGACUUCCACGAAAAUAACGUCACCGAAGAAGUAUCGCAUACAGACACAAAACUAAUUAUCUGGACACAGAAUUGUUGCACGUUUAUUUUAUGCUACUCACUGAAUAUUUUAUAUUAUAUUCAUUAAAUAUUUACGUUAUUUUAUGCGAAUUCACUAAAUAUGUAUUAUAAUUUUUAAGAAUAACUCUCGAGUGAAAGUGAUAACCUUUACCAGUGAUACAUUUCCAUCUCUCAAAAGCAAACUUGUAUUGAAACUAAAAACAUUCAAAUCAGCAUUUAAUAGUAUUUAAUCGCAAAUUUUAUGAGAAAGUAGCAUUAAAUAAAAUUUUUUACGCUAAUACUAAUAA